ensembl:lncRNA
AUUUGGUCAGAUUGUUAGUUCCAUUAAUUUUUGUGUUGUGUCAUCUUUGAGGUCACUAUGUUUCUUUGCUUUCUCUUUGAUAACUUUAUAUAACUCAGCUAGUUGAUGUUUGAUUUCUUCUCCAUUGGUGCUCCUUGAAUCUGCUUUGGGAGAGUUUGGAGUCAUUUUGUUGCCUUAUUUUUUCAUGUACCUUUUUUGCGUGUGCGUGGUGAGAGUGGAGGAUAAAUAGAGUAAAGGGAAUUUGUUGUUGGUAUAAAAAUCUCUAAGUUUUUGUUGUCCAGUGAUGUGUUUUUGGCUUUAUUUUUCAAGAGGUAUUGUUUAUCACUUCAAACUAUUUAGCUUAAUUGUGGUGGACCCUGUUAUUCCUUGAGUAUAUGCAGUAGUCUCUGCUGGGUCUCUGUCUUGGGGGACAAGCUAGGAAAAUGCAAGUCAGCAGCACAGCUGGAGCCAGCCAGGUUGUUUUCCGCAGCCCAGACCCAUCAGUCUGAAGCUGCUGCUUGGGGCUCUGCUGCUCAGGUUCUGGCUCCUUCACUAUUUGGGUCCUUAGCUCCUCUGCUCCUCUGAUCUGCUGUAGCCUGAUAGAGUGAGAUCGAGUUUGAGAGAAUCCUGUGGGCCUGUAAAUUUACUUGUUUAUUCAUUCUCUCAUUUGACAGCUAGACAAUGCUAGCACAUCUGUUAGAACAAAAUUCUUGAAGUUGGGUACUUUACAUACAAAAGAUGCUUAUUUGAUUCAGGCUUAGCUGGAAAGUCCAGACAGCAGGGUCCUGGCAUCUGUGUUACAUCGUGACUUGCUGUGUGCAGUAGGGGUGCAAGUGUGAGCAAAGAAGCAAGAGAGUGGGAGGACGAGGCUUACUCUUUAUAAGAAUUUGCUCUUGAGAGAACUAAUCUACUCUAGGAGACUUGUCCCACUUCUUUGAAACACCACCAGUCAACUCAUGAGGAUGGAUUUAAUGACCAUCUACUAGGCUUCACCUCUUAAAUGGUUUGGUGGACCCUCAGCACUGCCACACUGGGGACCUAGCUUCCAGCACAUGAAUCUUUGGGAGACAAACCACAUUCAAACCACUGUACCCUACGAUCUGUUAAAAAAUUACCCUUACAUGGUGAAUUAUUAAAGCAUUGUUCUUUUUAGGCCUUGUCAACCACCAUAAUGUUUUUAUAAGCACCCGGAAAGCAGCAUUCACUGUAUUUUUGGUUAUAUUUCAUAAGAAUACAAAAAAGGACUUCCAGAACUGCUUCAGAAAGUGUUAAGAAUGAUCUCAUAUAUUUAUAAAAUAUGAAGAAAACAGAAAUGGACAUUUUCAUCCUAUAGAUUAAGAAAAGUUGCACAAAACAGAUAAGUAUAUGAACACAAUGAGAGUUCCUGUUCUGUCAUGACUACUCUGUUUAAGCUGUGAGUACUGUCUCACUCAUAAGAGGUUCUCAAUAAAUGUUUCUUUUUGAUCAUGAUAUUUAAUGAUGAUGAGAACCCAAAUGAAAAGACUUUUAGCCUUGAGUUAUUUAGUGGUUAUUUUUCCAAUGACUUUUGUUUUUAUUAUCAUUAAAAAGAACAUGCUAGUUGCCAGAAUACAGAAGCCAUUCCCAAAUUCUUCACAAUAUUAAUUUUUUUUUUUGGUACCGGGGAUUGAACUCAGGUCCUUGCGCUUGUGCAGCAGGCGGCAAAACCACUGAGCUAAAUCCCCGGCCCCAUAAUAUUAAUUUUAUUGAGCUAAAACACAGAAAACUUAUAGGCAUUUAUAUAGACUUUCAAUGUAUGUAUGAUUUUGCACGUCUUAGGC